GCGCCCAGGAAUGUUCAAGGUCCUGGCUUGGUUUCAAGUCUGCAAGGAAAAGACAGUGGGCUGCAGACCAGGGAUUCCGACUGAUCCCUAUGUCUUGGGGAAAGCUGGUCUUGCUCCAGGAACUCACCACGGUCAGAACUCAGCCCAGGGCCACACCUGACCACAGGAGGCUGGGGUGCAGCGUUGCUGUGUGACCACGAAGCAGACAGAACAGUUGGAUGAACCACUGGGCCAGUCUAACUCAUUCUCCAUCAAGGAGGGGUUGUUCUGCUGGAAUGCACCGGGCAGCACGCAGCAGGAGUGAACUACGGUGACUUCGCCCUUGAAGCGUGACAUAUAUGCGUCCGGUUGGGAGACAGCAAACGGAGCCCUCUUAGUGCCAGACCCAUCUGUGUCAGCUGCCCCGAAGCCCACCACAGCUCUAGAGACACAAACCAAGUGUCGUUAUUGCUUCAGAUCUUUCAAGCCGGACUUUCUCUUCCUUGAAGAAAAAAAUCCUAACUCAUAAAACCAAAUUCUUGGAUUCUUUAGCCCCGUACAUACCCGACAAUGGAUUUGACCACAUUUAUCUCCUCAGACCAAGACGUGGGAAUAAAAUUAACAUGAGCUGAUCAAACAUGGCAGACACC